GUGGGGAAUCUUGCGCAAUGGGCGAAAGCCUGACGCAGCCAUGCCGCGUGAAUGAUGAAGGUCUUAGGAUUGUAAAAUUCUUUCACCGGGGACGAUAAUGACGGUACCCGGAGAAGAAGCCCCGGCUAACUUCGUGCCAGCAGCCGCGGUAAUACGAAGGGGGCUAGAGUUGCUCGGAAUUACUGGGCGUAAAGGGCGCGUAGGCGGACAGUUUAGUCAGAGGUGAAAGCCCAGGGCUCAACCUUGGAAUUGCCUUUGAUACUGGCUGUCUUGAGUACGGGAGAGGUGAGUGGAACUCCGAGUGUAGAGGUGAAAUUCGUAGAUAUUCGGAAGAACACCAGUGGCGAAGGCGACUCACUGGCCCGUUACUGACGCUGAGGCGCGAAAGCGUGGGGAGCAAACAGGAUUAGAUACCCGUGUAGUCC
rnacentral:rRNA from 1 species